CCAAUGGCCAACUGAAAAUAAGUUCUGAAGGAAAAGGGCGAGCACUGUUCCAGAAAAAAUAUCACUCUGUACAUUUGUGCAGAUGCUACGAGAAAAAAUAUUGAAAAAAAAAGCGUCACAUUGCGGACAAUUGCAUUUUGGGGACUAUUUUGAAUUUAACAUUUUGAUUGCCCUUUUUGUCAAUAUAGCACAUAGUCCUUUAUUAAAGAAUAAUCAAUCCAUGUUGAAAACUUGUGAAUAAAAUAUCGUUUUCAGUGUUGUUCUCAAAAAAUACCCUUAACUACCUGAACAACCAAAAUUAUAUUUCUGGAUUUGUGAAUUCUAAUUAGGAGAUUUAUAAUAAUUUCAUCAGAAUAUAUUUGACCUCUUUCUGCGGUACAUUGUCAUGAACACCGAACGACCUCGAAUGAAAGCCAAUAACUGAGGAGCAGCACGAGCGUUUUCCUUCAGUGGCGGCUAGACAUCGAGUCUGUCUGUUAUUUGAAUUCACGCGAUGACCAUAUACGGAAAAAUUGUACAAAUUAUAAUGACUACCCCUACGACAAAAAAAUCGUGAUCUAAUGUACGCUGAGUGUGAACUUCACCAUGGACCUUGAGAUGGAUACGAGAGUACAAGCAACUACCUCAAUGAUACAGCAUCAUUCACUUCAUCCAUAAUAAUUAUUGUUUAUUUAUUGGAUAUGUAAGACAUACCCGUAUUAUGUCUAUAAAAACAUAUACUUCUUUAAACUAUAAAUAUGUUUAUUUAUAAUUAAUAAGAUGGAAUUAUAGAUUGUGCAAUUUGAUUAGAAUUCGAAAUAUCGAUUCUAUUCAACUGAACUAUUGAUGUCAUCAUGUAAAUAUAACUCACUGUGAAUUAG